GAAUAAUAAUGACGGAAUGACAAACGAAACUAACUUAUCGAUAUGGCUGAUUCAUCGGGUGACCACCCCACUACAAGUUCGCUUUAUGUUUAAACUGGACGUAGAAGUGUCGAGACCGUCGUAAAAGACGGUGAAUUUUUAGUCGAUCCUUCAUAGCAGAAAGAAUGGCGCUAACACUUAGUAAAUUUGUGACUAAACGCACAGUGACUAGUGUUUGUGCAUUAUCUACAUUAAUAUGGAUAUUAAAAAGAAGAAACCGGAAACAGGUUGCAAAAUAUAGAAAUAUUUGGCCUGUCGAAGAUAUACAAUAUAUUAUUAAAGAGGAAAAACCAAAAGGACCUAAAGCUCAUGUAAAUGCGAGAUUUUUUCGACAAUUAUAUCAAUUGCUUAAAAUUGGUAUACCCUCAAUAGUAUCUUCUGAAUUUGCCUUUGUUCUCCUUAUCGCAGGUACACUUAUUACAAAAUCUUUUUGUGAUCUCUGGAUGAUAAAUAUGGGCACUUUAAUUGAAUCAUCAAUUCUUAAAAUGGAUAAAUCUUUAUUUAAAAGGCGUCUACUUAAAUUCUUAGCUGUAUUACCAAUGAUAUCUAUUGUGAACAACGUACUGAAAUAUAGUAUAUAUGAAAUGAAGCUAAGGUUACGCACAAAUAUCACACGAAGUUUAUUGGAUCAAUAUCUUAAUGGUUAUAUUUAUUAUAAAAUGAAUAAUUUAGAUAAUCGUAUAGCAAAUCCAGAUCAACUUUUAACUACUGAUGUUGAUAAAUUUUGUGAAAGCUGCACAGAUCUGUAUAGUAAUCUUACUAAACCUUUGUUAGAUAUUAUCAUUUAUGUUUAUAGGCUCACAUCUACUCUUGGUAGUGAAACUCCAGUAAUUAUGCUUUCAUAUCUCAUUUUUGCUGGUAUGAUAAUAACUUAUUUGCGUAAACCUAUCGGUCAAAUGACAGUAAAAGAACAACGUUUAGAGGGUGAAUAUCGUCAUAUUAAUUCAAGAAUAAUCACUAAUUCUGAGGAAAUAGCAUUUUACCAAGGAAAUAACCGAGAAAAGUUAAUUUUAUUAACUAGUUUUCAUAAACUUAUAAUACAUCUUCGCAAAUAUCUAGAGUUUAGAACUUUCAUAGGAAUAAUUGAUAAUUUUGUUGGUAAAUAUAUGGGAACUGUAAUUGGUUUCUACGCAGUGAGCUUACCUUUCUUUAUAGAAAAUCAUCCUAUUCUCACAGGAACUCCUAAUCAUCGAUUUAGGAGUUAUUAUACAUAUGGUCGUAUGUUAGUAAAAUUGGCAGAAGCUAUUGGUAGAUUAGUUUUAGCUGGAAGAGAAAUGACGCGAUUGGCAGGAUUUACUGCAAGAGUUAGUGAGAUAAAAAUCGUUCUUAAUGAUUUAAAAACAGGAAAAUAUAAAAGAACAAUGGUUUCUGAUUUCAAAAAUGAGCCAAUUGGAACUCCAGGCAUAGGAAAAAUAAUAAAUAAAGACAAUAUCAUAAAAUUCGAGCAUGUACCUCUGAUAACACCUAAUGGAGAUAUUCUUAUUAAAGAACUAUCAUUUGAAGUUAAAUCAGGAAUGAAUGUGUUAGUUUGUGGUCCAAAUGGUUGUGGAAAAAGUUCAUUAUUUAGAAUUCUUGGAGAAUUGUGGCCAAUUUGGAAUGGAACAAUUAUCAAACCUCCUCGAGGAAAAUUAUUCUACAUUCCUCAGCGUCCUUAUAUGACUUUGGGUACAUUGAGAGAUCAAAUAAUUUAUCCUCAUACCAAAACGGAAAUGAUACGGCGCGGACAAAUGACUGAUACUGAUUUGAAGAAAUUAUUAGAUCUCGUUCAAUUGGGUCAUCUAUUAGAAAGAGAAAAUCUUAUAAGUAGCGAAGGACAAGGUUGGGAUGUUGUAGCUGAUUGGAUGGAUGUUUUGUCUGGUGGUGAAAAACAACGUAUAGCUGUACAUACAAUGUUUUUUUAUUUAUUAUGGCUCGGCUUUUCUAUCAUAAACCACAAUUUGCAAUUUUAGAUGAAUGUACAAGUGCUGUUAGUGUUGAUGUCGAGGAUUCAAUGUACUUGUACUGCAAACAAACUAAUAUUACAUUAUUCACAGUAUCACAUCGACAGUCUCUUUGGAAACAUCAUGAGUAUUAUUUGCGAAUGGAUGGAAGAGGUAAUUAUGAAUUUAAGACUAUCGAAGCGGAUACAAAAGAAUUUGGAUCAUGAAUUUCCAUGUCUCUUGCAUUUAAUAAUAUUUUAAUAAUGUAAGGAAUUAUCAAUUUAUAUUCGAUUAAUUUCGAAUAAUUUAAAUGUAAAUUUGCAGUGUAUAGCAUAUAUAUAUUGUAUGUAUUGUAUCUUUCUUUGGUUAGAAUCUAGAUUUACAAAUAAUCAUACUGUAUAUUUUUAUAUAUCGUAUUUUUAUAUACUAUAUAUUUUUAUAUCAUUAUUUUUUUAUGAAAAAUGAUAAGAAAUAACAAAAAAAAGUUAGUAUACACUGCAAUUUAGGCCUUAAUGUAAUUAAUUUGAAAAAAAAUUAAUAUGUGAUUUAAA